rnacentral:lncRNA from 12 species
CUCUGCCCCUUCGCCUCCAAAAAAAAUUCAAAUUUAGGCUCAAAAGGGAUUUUUAAAGGACUCGAAUCUACCCCUCACCUCCAAAAAAAAUUCAAAUUUAGGCUCAGAAGGGAUUUUUAAAGGACUCAAAGUGUGAAACUCCGACAGAAGUGGCAGUGAUGGAAUCCGGGGGAGAAUCCCCCAUUUUCUCACCUUUUAUUCUGCAAAAACCCCCCGCUCCGAAUUCACCCCAAAUCCUCCCCCCGCCAAAAAAAACCCGAAAACCGAGGGGACGGAAAACCCCAAAUCUCAGCUCCAGGAAGGGUCGUAGCCCGUCCAGUCCGAGGGCGGCGCCAGGAAGACGCGGCGCCCGCGGCACACGAAGCUGACCACGCCGCGGUAGCCGGCGCGCGGAACGCCCGACUUGAGGUCGUCCAUCAGGCCCAAAGCUUUGGCCAAAGCCUUGAAGGAAUCCCUGCCCCGGUACUGGAGCCUGACCGGCCCCGGCUCCCGCCCCGCCUCCUUCUGGAGAUCCUCCAGCUUGAUUUCGGGGGCGGAGUAGACCUGGCGCAGGAAGAAACGUUCGUACUCGUCCUUCUUGAGGUAAGAAAGGUCCAGCUGGGUGAAAGGCACGAAGCGGUCGUUGAGUUUGAUGAAUUUCAGGUACUGGUCGAAGAACUGGCCGUGGCUGACGCCCUUGCGGCCGAAGGUCAUCGUCCUGGACACCUCGGGCCGGACGCAGGAGCGGCCGCGCCGCUGCUCCGGCUGCCUCAUCCAAUCGUCCCAGAAGGCCGGCGGCCACUUGGGCUCCAGCUCGUCCCACAGCUCGGCCAGCAGCAGCCAGCCCAAGCCGGGGAAGAAGUCGGUGCGGUAGAGGAGCUCGGCGCGGCCGGGGUCCACCAGGCCCUCCUUGCCGUUGUCGUUCCACGCCGAGGCGCACCACAGGCUGGGGUCCCCCUUCAGCAGCGGCAGAACCGCCUGGAAGUACUCGAAGAAAUCCGGCGCCACCUCCAGGUCGUCCUCCACCACGAUGGC